GGGGAAAAAAAAAACAACAAUUUAACAUUUCCAAAAGUUCAAGAAACUUUGCAGACAAUUCACAUAACAAAUCUAAAUAUAAAGUAUGUACAAGACACGCUGGACUGAUAACCCUCACUAAGGGAGGAGGGAGAGAGACGAUGAGAGAUAAGAUCAUUCUGUGAUCAGACAAACCAAGAAUGUUCACAGCCCUAACUAACAUAAUUGAAAUUAUUUAUACCCAAAAAGAGGGCUUGAAUACAACUCGGGUCUAGACUGACAAAGUUCAGCAGUCCAAAUGGACAUUAACCAGAUAAAAUAGAAUGUAAAUAAAUUACUGACCAGAAUUCCCCAAAAGUCGCUCCACUGCAGCAUGGACAUUCCCUGCAGUAGCAAUUAGAGCCCGUAUAUUCUCUUGUGUGUCAAAGAAACCCAUUUCUUGAAGCUGUGACAACUGGGUUGCAUAAAGUUCUUCUGGGGGCACUGACAAUAUGGAAAGGAGUGAAUGCAAUAUAGACAAAAACACAAAAAGGAAAGUACAUAAAAACAAGGGCAAGAAUAACAACCAUUGGAUCUGUUGGGAACAGCAAGGCUGCCAGCCCCAAGGCCACCAAACAUGUUCAUCAACAUCUCUAAACCCAUAUUAUUAGGUGUUCCUGCAAUUAUAAAGACAAUAAAAAACAAUCCAGUGACUAAAUAAUCUCUCCAAUUUUAUUUUGUGCGUGUACACAUGCGAGCAUGCACCAUUGAUGGUACAUCUGCUAUUAACAUAUGAAAAAGUGUAUGGUCCAUUGCAGACCCCACAAAACCAUGCAAUGCCAAUUGUGGACAUGCAGUUCUAACGGAUAUCAUGGACUUUAUUGAACAAAAAUAAGCAAAACAUAGAAUUCCAGAACUUCAGAAAUUCAUUACAAGAGAUCUAAUAUAGUAGCCUUUCCAAAGAUAAAUGCUAUGACAUCACAUCUAUGCUUAAGACUCUCAUGUUUCAUCAACCAAUGGGUGUGCCAGUGCACAAAGCUUCCCACGCUAAGGGCUCUAAGCGAAUUAGAUAAAUGCAGCUUUACUUGCAAUGGAAGGGGAUUUCCAAGGUUUGGAUCUGUGAAAUCCAGGUCAAGAUGAAGCAAACUUAACAUUGCUCACCCUCCCAAAUUUAGUCUUCUACGAGGAAACAUGCAUGCUAUUCAUCUCAAUACACUAACAGACCAAAAGUUAAUGAUUGUUUCUAAAAAUGCCUAAUACAUAAAAUUAAUCCCUGAUUUUACUUUUGACCUAUUACACCAUUUUUUUUUAAUUUUUAUAAUCAAUAAGGACAAUUUUCUCAACUCAAUAUAAAUAAUUGAUAAAUCAAGUUUAAUCUAUUAUAAAUUAAAAAAAAAAGAUAUAUCAACCUAUAUAUUUAAUUAUUUUUAUCGAUAAAUUUAAACCCGGACACAAGGCCGGUUCCGAUUCGAACUAGCCCAUAACCAGAACAAUGAAACCCCCAAGGUUCUAGUUUAGGUUCCGGUUUGAUAUGGUCCAAAUCCAACAGUCUAGAUAUUUUAUCAGAUUUUUAAAAAUUUUUUAAAUAAAAAAGAUGGUUCGGCCAAGAAUCGUCCGGUUUGAUUCCAAUUCAAUUCCACCCCAGUUUAUUUUCAGUUUGAGUCAAAGACAGGUUUGACCAAUUUCGAUUUUGAACUGGCCCUAAGGAUGUCAUAGAUCAAAAUAAAAGAUCAAGGGUGCACUAGGCUUUUUUCCAGAUAGUUCAAGGGUAAAUUUAUGUAGUGGGGCUUUCUAUAAAGUUGAUUUAUAGGUAACAUAAAAUAUAUUAAAUUACUCCAAAAAUCAAAGAGCUCAAAUAAAAGGCUAAACAUCACCAUUUGAAAUCCAUUUGGAACAAAAACAUUGAAAUGAAGCAAAGAUGGAAUCUUAUGAGGCCUAUUUUUGGAACUUCUCAACAUUCACUCACUUUUAGACAGCUUGAAUCAUGCACAGUAAAAACCAUCAAACAUAAUAAAUUAGAUUUAGUUACAGCCAAAGAAGAAAGUAUAUUAUAGACUGUCUUCAUUACCUGUUCCUGCACCAGUCUGACCUGGUUCCUGAGUUGACUGCUGCCGACCAAGCUGAGACAGCAGAGCUUGCUGGAAAGUCAAAAGUUGCUGCAUUGUCUCAGGAGAAGUCAAUUGACGAAGAAAUUCCGGGUUUUGCAUCAUUUCUCUAAAUUGAGAGUUUGAAUCAAGCAUGCUGCGAAAUUGAGGAUUAGCACCAAGAAUCUGGUUCAUGUACUGGGGAUUGGAAAGGAGACUUUGCAUCAUUUGUGAAAUUGCCGGAUUUUGCAACAUCUGACUCAUUGCAUUAGCAUCAGGCAUAGCACCAAACAUGUUCUCAAACUCAGGAAGGCCAAGUCCACCUAGUCCAGCAGGUGCCUGCUGCGGCCUAGCAUCCCCAGCAGUAUUCAACCCUGUAGUGUUUGUUUGGGCACCACCAGUCCCCGCAGCAGUCCAAGGGUUGGGCAGUGGAUUGGUAUUUGGAGCGGGGGAACCAGUGGUUGACUCAGAACUAGUAGUUGAUGGAUUAGUUGACCCAUCAGUAGCUUGGUUCCUUGUUUGGUUCCCCAGGAGAGCCGCAAAUGGGUUUGCAUUAUCACCUCCAGCAUUUCCAGCCAUUGUGGUUGCAUUCAAAAAUGGCUCCUGAACAGUUUCAUACAUGCGUCUAAGCAUGUUAAAUCCCUCAGGUGAAGAUUCAAUGUUGCUCAUUGCUCUGUCAGUGUUGCGCAUCAUCUCACGCAUAAGUUCAGGGUUUCUUGCUGCUUCAAGUGUUUGACGGAGAGUGCUAGGAUCAUUGAGUAUAUGAGCUAGCUCAGGAUUUCGAUCAAUGAUUUCACGCAUUUGAGGAUUGUUCACUAUCAAGUUCCGCAUGAUUUCUGGAUUAUUCAUUAGAUUCUGAAUGGCUGGCAUAUUCAUGAUUUCUCUCAUAAUGUUAGGAUUCCGAGUCAAUUGUUGCUGCACCUGUUCAAACUCUGGAAGUCCAGCUCCAAACAAACCACCACUGCCACCCAAGCCAUUUAAACCAAGUCCUGGAAAUAGUGAGGCUUCAAAACCAGAACCUCCAAGUGCUCCACCUUCAUUGGAACCAACAGCCUGUGUAUUAGUUGAAGCAGUAUUUGAAGCUCCAUUAUUGCUAGCAGGAGCUGUAUUGGCUGCUGCAGCUGGUGAAAAACCACGAACCAAGUGGACAGUGUGAUCUGCCUCCAAGCCAUAGCUAUGCAGUGUUUGAUCGUCCUUCAAGAUCCGACCCUUGUAAAUCAGCCGCUGUUGAUCGGCCGGCACAUCGCACUUCCCCGCAAGUACGGCCUUAAACGCUUCAACCGUCGAGGAUAGGCUUAUCCCAACCGAAAACUUUGAUCCAUUGGAACAUCUGAUAUUGACGGUGACUUCAUCCCCACCGCCGUUCGAUUCACUGACCUCAUCUACAGCUCCAUUGCCUCCUCCCAUACUCUCUCAGCAAGCUAUUUAAUUAAUCGCCAAA
rnacentral:misc_RNA from 1 species